UCCGGUGCUCCCCCGGCACGGCCGAUCUGCAGUCGUGAGGGAGAGUGGAUCUCGAAGUGUGAGCCCUUGCCGCGACACUCCCUCCCGCACCGCGUGCGCUGCUUGCCCUGUGUGACACAUCCCGCAAGCUCGUUACCGUGCCCAGAUGCAGAGGUCUCUGCACUGAGACGAUCAUUGGAUUCUCAGCAUUUUCACUGGCAGUUCUUGGACCAGCUGGAUGGUUCCUUUGCCACCUUCCAAGCUCUAAAAAGAAAUAGAAAACAUCCCUUCAAAAUUAAGAUGUGAAGGCUGCAAUCAACUGUAAUAUUCCAAACUUGGAUUCUCUUGAAAGCCCUGACAUAGAAUAUAGCUAACUAAAGUCCCAGUUCACGCACUGUUAUCCAUCCUGUGUACCAGGUCCCAGGUCAGAAAGCUUUUGCAGAUUUUGUGGAACUGGACCCAGAAAUGAAAUGGUGUAGGGAUGCAAAAUAGUGUUAGGUCUACUCUGCCAUCACCUGCUGCAUUGGACCAGUCUGCACGUACCAAUCUGGAUCUGUCAUCAGGAACUGCGGGAAAUGGAAGAUUGGUGAGGAGGAUUGUAAACACGCUCGAGUGACCUGCAGUUUGGGUGUCAAAAAACACAUACUGCAUAUUAAUUGUUGUUUGACCUUGUGUGUUAGACAAGUAGAACAUCUGUGUUUAGAUAACAUAGGCCUGUUGUAGCCUUAGAGGCACCCUACUGAAUGUGCUUGAGAUUCUUGCCCUGCUGUGGGCAAGGUUAAAGCACAGUGGUAAAUUAUGCUUGUGCAAAUCCUUGAAAUACAGGAGAAAACAGCAGACUGGGUGAUCCUAUUGCAUGGAUCAAGCUUCACAGUGCUUGUGUCCCUGCUUGUGUGUCUCCUGAUUGCUGCUUUGGUGAUCUCUGGUUGGCGAGGUAACAGAUCAAAUUUACUCUCUGCAUUUAAUUUGUGGUUUUGAGGUUGUUCCUGUGUCCUGCCUGUGUUGACUCCUACUGGUACCAUCAAAGCUUUAAACUAAAUAAAUGGGAGAAAAAAAAUAUUUUUAAUAGUCAUCUCAGACAAAAAUUCUGAGAGUUUAAGAUGAUUUUCUCCAAAGUUUCUCUUUAAUCUUUACAUUCACAUUCUUUUGGUGUGGUCCCCCAGCCAAUCUACUCUUCCACAAGGAUAAAUGUUUUUCUGCAGGUCAUGAUUAUUAGAUACUUCACUUUAUUUUCAAUGUAUAGAUUAAAAUUUGUGACAUUUGAGAUAUAUUCCCAUGAUUGCUAUUUACAAUAAAUGCUUUGAUAAAUA